AAAGAGUGAUAUUUAAUAAUUUGUAUUAUUAAAUAAUGAAGAUUGAAUACAUAGUGGAAGAUAGUGGAUAUAAGGAAGAGCGAUACCAAAGCUGCACCAUAGACGAAACCACUGAAGUAUUUCCUUUUAUCGUUUGACCGCUGCAGUAGAAGGAACAGGCCCAUCAAGCUGGGAAUCACAGACAGCUGUAAGAAAAAAAGUCACAUGAUAAAUCCAAUUUCAGAGAGUGAGACUGCCCACGCAUACACCGCGAAAUAUUUCGUCGCCAGUUUUCAAACGGUGAAACUAGAACGAAAAGAGGGGAUACCCGAGUAAAUACUGUAGAUGCACUUCAGCAUGUUAAAGCGCUUUGGAAUUAAGAACUCUGAAACAUGAUUUUGUUCAUUAUCUGAGCAUUU